rnacentral:rRNA from 1 species
GAUGAACGCUGGCGGCGUGCCUAAUACAUGCAAGUCGAGCGAACGGACGAGAAGCUUGCUUCUCUGAUGUUAGCGGCGGACGGGAGAGUAACACGUGGAUAACCUACCUAUAAGACUGGGAUAACUUCGGGAAACCGGAGCUAAUACCGGAUGAUAUUUUGAACCGCAUGGUUCAAAAGUGAAAGACGGUCUUGCUGUCACUUAUAGAUGGAUCCGCGCUGCAUUAGCUAGUUGGUAAGGUAACGGCUUACCAAGGCAACGAUGCAUAGCCGACCUGAGAGGGUGAUCGGCCACCCUGGAACUGAGACACGGUCCACACUCCUACGGGAGGCAGCAGUAGAGAAUCUUCCGCGAUGGGCGAGAGCCUAACGGAGCAACGCCGCGUGAGUGAUGAAGGUCUUCGGAUCGUAAAGCUCUGUUAUUAGGAAAGAACAUAUGUGUAAGUAACUGUGCACAUCUUGACGGUACCUAAUCAGAAAGCCACGGCUAACUACGUG